rnacentral:rRNA from 1 species
UACGAAGGGGGCUAGCGUUGCUCGGAAUCACUGGGCGUAAAGCGCACGUAGGCGGCUUGGCAAGUCGGAUGUGAAAUCCCUCGGCUCAACCAAGGAAGUGCAUCCGAAACUGCCGAGCUUGAGUACUUAAGAGGAUCGCGGAAUUCCCGGUGUAGAGGUGAAAUUCGUAGAUAUCGGGGAGGAACACCGGUGGCGAAGGCGGCGACCUGGGUAGAUACUGACGCUGAGGUGCGAAAGCGUGGGGAGCAAACA